UACAGAGGUGGCAAGCGUUGUUCGGAAUUACUGGGCGUAAAGCGCGCGUAGGCGGCUCGGAAAGUCGGUCGUGAAAUGCCGGGGCUCAACCCCGGGACUGCGUCCGAUACUCCCGAGCUGGAGGCAGGUAGGGGAGAUCGGAAUUCCUGGUGUAGCGGUGAAAUGCGCAGAUAUCAGGAGGAACACCGGUGGCGAAGGCGGAUCUCUGGGCCUUGCCUGACGCUGAGGCGCGAAAGCUAGGGGAGCGAACAGG
rnacentral:rRNA from 1 species